rnacentral:tRNA from 1 species
GGUUCUAUGGUGUAAUGGUUAGCACUCUGGACUCCCAAUCCAGUGAUCCGAGUUAAAAUAUCAGUAGGACCU